CCUACGGGAGGCAGCAGUGAGGAAUAUUGGUCAAUGGCCGUAAGCCUGAACCAGCCAAGUAGCGUGAGGGACGACUGCCCUAUGGGUUGUAAACCUCUUUUAUGCGGGGACAAAGGUGUCCACGUGUGGCUGUUUGCAGGUACCCCGUGAAUAAGCACCGGCUAAUUCCGUGCCAGCAGCCGCGGUAAUACGGAAGGUCCGGGCGUUAUCCGGAGUUAUUGGGUUUAAAGGGAGCGUAGGCCGGUCUUUAAGCGUGCCGUGAAAUUUUGUGGCUCAACCAUGAGAGUGCGGCGCGAACUGGAGACCGUGAGUGCGCGGGAGGCAGGCGGAAUUCGUGGUGUAGCGGUGAAAUGCUUAGAUAUCACGAAGAACCCCGAUUGCGAAGGCAGCGUGCCGCAGCGUUACUGACGCUGAAGUUCGAAAGCGCGGGUAUCGAACAGGAUUAGAUACCCGGGUAGUC
rnacentral:rRNA from 1 species